rnacentral:rRNA from 1 species
AUUGAACGCUGGCGGCAGGCCUAACACAUGCAAGUCGAGCGAGCGGCGGAGGGGUGAGUAAUGUAUGGGGACCUGCCAGAAGGAGGGGGAUAACUCCUGGAAACGGUGGCUAAUACCGCAUACCAUCGGAUGAAACCAUAUGGGAUUAGCUAGUAGGUGGGGUAAAGGCUCACCAGGGCGAAGAUCCCUAGCGGGUAUGAGAGGAGGAUCAUCCACACUGGACCUGAGAAACGGCCCAGACUCCUACGGGAGGCAGCAGUGGGGAAUAUUCCACAAUGGGCGCAAGCCUGAUGCAGCCACGCCGCGUGUAUGAAGAAGGCCUUCGGGUUGUAAAGUACUUUCAUCAGGGAGGCGUUACCCACAGAAGAAGCACCGGCUAACUCCGUGCCAGCAGCCGCGGUAAUUC